rnacentral:rRNA from 1 species
GACGAACGCUGGCGGCGUGCUUAACACAUGCAAGUCGAACGGAAACGCCGUUCUUUUGUGGGGUGCGCGAGUGGCGAACGGGUGAGUAAUACGUGAGUAACCUUCCCUUGGCGGGGGAAUAACUGCAGAAAGCUGGAGUAAUUACCGGUACGGACCUCCGGCUGCAUGGGGGGGGUUGGAGAGUUGCGGCUGUUGGGGAUGGACGCGCGGCUUAUCAUCUUGGUGGGGGGGUAGUGGCUUAACAAGGCUGUGACGGGCAGGCGGCAUGAGAGGGUGAACGGCCACCAUGGGACUGCGAGACGGCCCAGAGUCCUACGGGAGGCAGCAGUGGGGAAUAUUGCACAAUGGGCGGAAGCCUGAUGAAGCGACGCCGCGUGCGGGAUGACGGCCUGCGGGUUGUAAACCGCUUGCGCCUGUGACGAAGCGUGAGUGACGGUACCGGGUGAAGAAGCACCGGCUAACUACGUG